UGCCACAGCCAUAUCACCCUGCUGCCCAAGACCUGUUCCUCACUGAAUCUAAGCAGGACUGAGCCUGGUUAGUAGUACAUGAAUGGGAGACCACAUGGGAAAACUAUGUUGCUUUUGGAA
ensembl:rRNA 5S_rRNA 5S ribosomal RNA